rnacentral:rRNA from 1 species
UACGUAGGUGGCAAGCGUUGUCCGGAAUUAUUGGGCGUAAAGCGCGCGCAGGCGGUCCUUUAAGUCUGAUGUGAAAGCCCACGGCUCAACCGUGGAGGGUCAUUGGAAACUGGGGGACUUGAGUGCAGGAGAGAAGAGUGGAAUUCCACGUGUAGCGGUGAAAUGCGUAGAGAUGUGGAGGAACACCAGUGGCGAAGGCGGCUAUCUGGACGAUGACUGACGCUGAGACGCGAAAGCGUGGGGAGCAAACAGG